ACAAAAACAGAGGAGAGAGAGGGGAAGAGAUACAUUGUAGCCUACCAUGCUGCUGGCAAGAAGGCUUUGGCAAAUCCAAGAAAACAUUCUUGGCCAAAAUCCCGGGGAAGUUACUGCCACUUUGUUCUCUACAAGGAAAACAAAGACACCAUGGACGCCAUCAAUGUGUUGUCCAAGUAUCUGCGGGUAAAACCAAACAUAUUCUCCUAUAUGGGAACCAAAGACAAAAGGGCUAUCACAGUCCAGGAGAUCGCUGUUCUCAAGUAAGUGGAGCUCCCGCCCCAGCUCCUGCCCAGACUGACAGCACAGAGGCCUCAGCUCUGCUUUACCAAACUUACCACUCUCAGCUUCAUCUCGUCCUCUGCCUUUUAAAAUCCUGUAGACAUAUUUGUUUGCUAUGUGUGCAUGUAGACAUAUGUAUGCACACACGGUGGCACAUUCCUGGCGGUCAAGGACGACUGGAGGAAAUCCAUUCUCUCCUACCCUGUGGCUCCUUUGGAUUGGGGUCAGGGUUGGCAGCAGAUCCGUCUGCUGACCAGACAAACUGCCAGUUCAGUUUCUGCUCUUUUGUGGAUACUAUUUCCUACUUGGUUUUUUCACCCUGAAUCUCUCUGUGUUUCCUAAUCAAACAGGCCUUUUGUUUGUUUGUU
rnacentral:lncRNA from 1 species